CCCUUAGAUGUUCUGGGCGGCCCGCGCACUACAUUGGCACUCUCAAUAAGUUCCUAGAUCUAAAACUUUGGGGUAUUCUAUUAAGUGGUGUCGUGACUGGGACUAACCCUUGCAAUUAUUGGUUACGAACGAGGAAUUCCUUGUAAUCGCGGUUUAUCAGCCCGCGUUGAAUGCGUCCCUGCCCUUUGUACACACCGCCCGUCGCUCCUACCGAUGAAUCGUCCGGUGAAGUUCAUGGAGUGGUGGUUGUUCCAGCUGCUGUCGAAGUGAAAUGGACCUCACGAUUUAGAGGAAGGAGAAGUCGUAACA
rnacentral:rRNA from 1 species